ACUCCUGUGGCGGAACGGAAGACGCACUAGAUCGAGAAUCUAGUUUUUGUGGGUUCAAAUCCCAUCAGGAGUACCA
rnacentral:tRNA from 1 species